UUGACUUCUGUUUUCUGUCAGUUAAUCUGACAUAUGUCACACUGAUUAAAAACAGCCCAGGAGGGUAAAAACAGGACAUCAUGGGGCAGGGAGGUUACUGUUUUUAUCUUGAUAAGUUAAUACGAUAAUAAGAGCUGGACUCGCAGGGAGCAAGGAAAAAAUAUCAGACUGGACAUAGCCAGCAAACCUGAACGGGGCCAUGAGAGGAGAGAGAGGACAGAGAGUGAAAGAGAAAGAAGAGAGAGAGACACGAGAAAGAAGACCAAAAGAGAAUGAAGAGAGCCAAGAAAGCUCAUGGCCAAAAUGGCAGAUAACACAGCGGCUCCCACCGAGGAGACACUCGGCUACUAACACUUGCUAGUUGAAUGAGUGGAUGGAGAGAAACAUUUAAAGUCAGGAGACUGACUGGUUUCCACCUUCACCUACCUGAGUGUGCCAGCUUCAGACAGCAACGCUGUCUCACGCAACUUUACUAGCAGCUCCUUGAGAUGAGUUUUACAUCUUCAGAUCCUCACAACUCCAACCUUGCUGCUCAUUCGUAGCUGCCCAAAGUCCAGGUCUCCAGAUCUUUUGGAAAAGCUGUCCUCGGAGCAUCCAAGUCAUCCCUCCUUCAGGGCAGCUGUGACUACACAAAAUGGGUCCUCGAGGCUGUCUUUUGAAGUUCCUUCAUAGGAGGAGGAAGGUCAUUAGACCUUUGCCUAAGAUUCUAUCCAUUCCUUCUACACAACCCAUCCAGCUGCACAUGACAGAAUGGGUGUCGGGGAGUUCCUUCUAUACAGCUAUGGGGAAGCCAUCAUACGGGCUGAGUUUAAGCUUACAGAACCUCUUUACCAGGAGCUUGGAACACUCGACGGUGUUAGUUCAUCUCUAACUCCUGUGCUUACUUGAAAGCAGCACUCACCGUGUACUUAACCCUGCUGGCAGCUAAAAGUCAUAAAGAUCUACGAGGAAAGUAGAUGUGUCAAGUAGCAGUCACGCACCUCACUUCCAUCUUGGCUGAUGGCCUCAUCAAAAGGGGAGCAACCAUGUGACUGGCAGCCAUCUUUGCUAAGGUUAAAGAGCUCAUGCCGUGUGACCUCACCGCCAUCUUUGUUAAGAUGACCACGGGCAUAAAGCAACUAAAGGAACAGCUGUAAAACUUCUUAAUCUGACUAAGCCCUCUACUUAGCACCUUACCUCCUUUUCAAACUAAGGAAACAACAACAAGUCUGCAAAAUAUCCUGUAUGAGAAUGGAUUUUCGUGACUAAAUAUAAUCAGGGUUUAUAAAUUCUCAAGGUUACAAAAGCCUAAAGCUGCCUUGGAGAUGCACAUCUAACUACUUAUGCCUUCGCCAACUGUGUUGGACACCAGGCUUCUGGGAAUUUUAGAUAAGAAACAACAGACGUUUGAUAGAUGAUACAUGCUCGAUAAACAGAGCUUAUAAAUUCCGGAGGUAAACUCAGGUUAGCAGUAAUGAUUUAAAGAUCCAUGUCUACCCUCCUGGUCUUUGCUAACUUUGCUAAGCAUUAGCUACUUUGAUACUCAUAGAAGAAACUGUGGUAUUCUGUAACGGUGUACUAUAAAAGGAUCAGAAAACUGAUUGUAUUUAUGGUUUAAAAUUUUAUUUUGAUGCUAAAGGGUCUUCAGUAAAACCUUCAACUCAAUUUUGAGGCUCAAAGCUACUGACUUGUAGUGAACUGUUAAAGAUAAUCAAAGCAUGCAAGUUACCUCAUAGAGGGUCGAAUUCUUUAAUGUCCUCAGAACUCUUCUUAAAGUCACGCUAAGUUCAAAUGUAACUCAUUUAUAAAGACAAGCUUUCUUUAGCCUCCUGUAUGUAUUUUCAAGGUUAAGCCUAAAGCUAGUAACUAAAAACAAAGUUUGUUUAGCUCGGAUAUACUUAACAGACUGUGUUCCUCAAACUCUCCAGAGAUCUGCUGAGUAAGGCACUUAAAGUAUUUAACGAGAAAAAGUUUCCCAUGAUAGACAUUUCAGCUCCUGGUGGCAACCCUGUCUCCAAACUAAGACUGAGGGGCACGGACAACUACACCUGGAUUGUGGUAACGCUAACCAAUGGGCUAAACCGCCCCAUGACUCACCUGCUAUCAUCAGGUACUGGCCCAAACUGUGGACAAACAGGACGCUUUCAGGUUGACUGCCUUACUCUGCCUGACUAAGGCAGGUCAAUUUUUCCCAAGUUUCUUCCCCACAGGAAAAUCUUUGAGAGCUGCUCCGUCUGGCCGCCAAAGGCCAAAGCUAUCCUGCACAACAGUUGAAGACGCUGAGGCAGCCAAAGACCAACAAACGACCCCAGUGAAGCCAUCUAGACCACCAUGAGCCUAGUGUAACCGUCCAAGUAGCAGAACGUCUAUCAUUGUAGUUGAUCUAUAAUUGCUAUAUAAGCUGUUUGGAUGACAGGUCCUGCUAUAAUUUAUCCUUCUCAGAUCUCUGAUGAUAUUGACUCUCUAACUGAACCUUUAUAUGUGGCAGCAGGCAAAUCAGCUCCUCCCGCAACGAUGCAGCUGCCUGGUUUCUCCACUGGAGAAAGACAAACAGUGUACCUUGAUGGCAGAGUGUACUCUGAGACAAAACAAAACAAAACAAAACCUGAGAAGGACAAAUUUCAAAGUAACUUUUUACUGCUCCUUUGUUUAAACUUUAAAACAUAAAUGAACUUGUUUUCACAACAACUGCUCUCUGUAA